CCAGACUCAUACGGGAGGCAGCAGUGGGGAAUAUUGCGCAAUGGGGGCAACCCUGACGCAGCCAUGCCGCGUGAAUGAAGAAGGCCUUCGGGUUGUAAAGUUCUUUCGGUAGCGAGGAAGGCACUUAGUUUAAUAAACUAGGUGAUUGACGUUAACUACAGAAGAAGCACCGGCUAACUCCGUGCCAGCAGCCGCGGUAAUACGGAGGGUGCGAGCGUUAAUCGGAAUAACUGGGCGUAAAGGGCACGCAGGCGGUGACUUAAGUGAGGUGUGAAAGCCCCGGGCUUAACCUGGGAAUUGCAUUUCAUACUGGGUCGCUAGAGUACUUUAGGGAGGGGUAGAAUUCCACGUGUAGCGGUGAAAUGCGUAGAGAUGUGGAGGAAUACCGAAGGCGAAGGCAGCCCCUUGGGAAUGUACUGACGCUCAUGUGCGAAAGCGUGGGGAGCAAACAGGAUUAGAUACCCUGGUAGUCCACGCUGUAAACGAUGUCGAUUUGGGGGUUGAACUUUAGGUUUGGCGCCCGUAGCUAACGUGAUAAAUCGACCGCCUGGGGAGUACGGCCGCAAGGUUAAAACUCAAAUGAAUUGACGGGGGCCCGCACAAG
rnacentral:rRNA from 1 species